UACGGAGGGUGCAAGCGUUGUUCGGAAUUACUGGGCGUAAAGCGCGGGCAGGUGGUCUUUUAAGUCCUUUGUGAAAUCCCGGGGCUCAACUCCGGAUGUGCAUAGGAUACUGGAAGACUGGAGACUGGUAGAGGCGAGCGGAAUUCCUGGUGUAGCGGUGAAAUGCGCAGAUAUCAGGAGGAACACCGGUGGCGAAGGCGGGUCUCUGGGCCGUUCCUGACGCUGAGACGCGAAAGCUAGGGGAGCGAACAGG
rnacentral:rRNA from 1 species